GCAGCAGCAGGUACAGGAGAGAUGGAUUGCAUCUGCUUCCACAAGAGUGAUACUGGAAAAUCAUUCUUCCCAAAUCUCCAACUCUAAAUCGGUUAGAAACAGGCAUUCUGAGUCCAACACAGCAUAGACAACCCAACUCCCCCGCACUUGGUGUCAAUCAUUGACUUCAACUGGAGCCUGAAAGGGCGGCAGGAAUGUCGUGAGUCUGUGUGGAAUUUCACCAACAGCAGCCAGCUGUGCUCUCCAUUUGGGAAUCAGUCGGCCAACUUUUCAAGUCCUUGCAGUCAGCUUGGUGACAUUCCUUUCUUCAGAUGCAAUGCAGAUGGUUUUUGAACACCACAGCCAACCGAUUCCAUACUGUUAGGAAAUUUUACACAUCCAUAGGCAGUGCCCUUCUCAUCCUGGAGAAAACGAGAAGAGGGAAAUGCAGGGCAUACGAAGCUCUGGCAUCUGGUGAGGGAUCCAGUAGCCAUCAAUCUGACCUGUAAUUGUCUUUUCAUCAAAGGUCUGGCACAGCUGCUGUUAGCUUCUCCCAGCAUAAACAACAUCCCCAGCAUGGCUCUGCCCUUCCUGCCACAGAUGCAGAAAUGAUUCACUCUCCAGAUAGAAAAGGUGUGGGAGGAGCACAAGUCCUAGUGUGGUGCAAAAUGCAAGGAACUCUAGAAGUGGUGAGGACAAGGGUAGCUGUAUAAAGUACCUGUGUAGAGAGGUAAAGAGCAGGAAGAAAAUGAGGAAACUGUGGGGAGCGCUGAGGGAACUAAUG